rnacentral:rRNA from 1 species
AUUGAACGCUGGCGGCAGGCCUAACACAUGCAAGUCGAGCGGAUGAAGGGAGCUUGCUCCUGGAUUCAGCGGCGGACGGGUGAGUAAUGCCUAGGAAUCUGCCUGGUAGUGGGGGAUAACGUCCGGAAACGGGCGCUAAUACCGCAUACGUCCUGUGGGAGAAAGUGGGGGAUCUUCGGACCUCACGCUAUCAGAUGAGCCUAGGUCGGAUUAGCUAGUUGGUGGGGUAAAGGCCUACCAAGGCGACGAUCCGUAACUGGUCUGAGAGGAUGACCAGUCACACUGGAACUGAGACACGGUCCAGACUCCUACGGGAGGCAGCAGUGGGGAAUAUUGGACAAUGGGCGAAAGCCUGAUCCAGCAAUGCCGCGUGUGUGAAGAAGGUCUUCGGAUUGUAAAGCACUUUAAGUUGGGAAGAAGGGCAGUAAGUUAAUACCUUGCUGUUUUGACGUUACCAAAAGAAUAAGCACCGGCUAACUUCGUG